GUAGUAUUCCCUCCGUCCCAAAAUUCUUGUCAUACAUUUGUUUAGAUACGGAUGUAUCUAACACCAAAAUGUAACUAGAUACAUCCGUAUUUAGAAAAAUUUAAGACAAGAAUUUUGGGACGAAGGGAGUACAAA
rnacentral:pre_miRNA from 1 species